CGCGUGCCCAGUGUACCCUACUGCUUUGCUCCGCUUUGCUGCAUCUCAGACUUGUAACAGGUAAGGAUAUCCUGGAAACUAAGCUGCAGUCGGCUGAUGCAAACCAAACCCAGGGGGGUCCCAAGAGCUUUCGGGUACGUAAACUGAAAAGGGGUGAUCUGUCUCAGCUUGAAAAUCUCCCAUGGCCAGGAGCCUAAGUACACAAGCUGCCUGCACUCGCGGGGUCCCGAGGAAGGGGAGGAUGAUGGGAGAAGAAGAGGAACUACAAGCCCCAGCAUGCAGUGCACACUCUGGCUCCAGGAAAGAGGGCCUCGGAGAGGUGCAGCCCAACCGCGGGCCGUCGAAGAGAUGCCGACGGCCGACCACAAUGUUCAGAAUGAGGAAGACAAGCGCGGCGCUGUGAACAAGCCUUAAGUCCCGUAUUCAUGACGUUUGCGGUUUCGCCGGGGACCCUACUAUGCUGAGGAGUGGAAUUUCCGGACCACACUGGCCGGUCCUCGCCAGGCUCGGACCUCCACAGUCCCAGAGCCUCCUGCGUUUCCAUGGAAUGCCCGGGCCGGAUAUGAUGUCUUCGUAGAGAAAAAAGGAAGAGGCGGAGCGGGGCGCGGUGACGUCCUUCCAAGAUGGCGGAGAGAGCGUGAAGAAACUGUUCCCCUUUGGUUUGCUUUAGAACAAGGGUAAAAUUCCAUUCUGAUACCAAAAUGCAGUAUUCGCACCACUGUGAGCACCUUUUAGAGAGACUGAACAAACAGCGGGAAGCAGGUUUUCUUUGUGACUGCACUGUGGUGAUUGGGGAAUUCCAGUUUAAAGCUCAUAGGAAUGUGCUUGCCUCAUUUAGUGAGUAUUUUGGUGCAAUCUACAGAAGCACUUCUGAGAACAAUGUGUUCCUUGAUCAGAGUCAGGUGAAGGCUGAUGGAUUUCAGAAACUGUUGGAGUUCAUAUACACAGGAACUUUAAAUCUUGACAGUUGGAAUGUUAAAGAAAUUCACCAGGCUGCUGACUAUCUCAAGGUGGAAGAGGUGGUCACUAAAUGUAAAAUAAAGAUGGAAGAUUUUGCUUUUAUUGCUAAUCCUUCUUCUACAGAGAUAUCUAGUAUUACUGGAAACAUUGAAUUGAAUCAACAGACUUGUCUCCUUACUUUACGAGAUUAUAACAGUCGGGAAAAAUCAGAACUGUCUACAGAUUUAGUUCAGGCCAAUCCUAAACAAGGGGCUUUAGCAAAGAAGUCAUCUCAAACUAAAAAGAAGAAGAAGGCCUUCAACUCCCAGAAAACAGGACAGAAUAAAACAGUGCAAUAUCCCAGUGACAUUUUAGAGAACGCGUCUGUUGAAUUAUUCUUAGAUGCAAAUAAAGUAUCCACACCUGUAAUAGAUCAAGUUUCACAAAGAAAUGAUAAUUCAGAACUCGAGUUGACGUCAGUUGUGGAAAAUACUUUUCCAGCACAAGAUAUUGUGCAGACUGUUACAGUGAAACGGAAACGUGGAAAAUCACAACCCAACUGUGCUCUAAAGGAACACUCUAUGUCUAACAUAGCCAGUGUCAAGAAUUCUUACGAGCUGGAGAGCUCUGGGGAAGAGCUGGAUCAGAGGUAUUCCAAGGCCAAGCCAAUGUGUAACACAUGUGGGAAAAUGUUCUCAGAAGCCAGCAGCUUGAGAAGGCAUAUGAGAAUACAUAAAGGAGUUAAACCUUAUGUCUGCCACUUGUGUGGAAAGGCAUUUACCCAGUGUAACCAGCUGAAAACGCAUGUAAGAACUCAUACAGGUGAGAAGCCAUACAAAUGUGAAUUGUGUGAUAAAGGAUUUGCUCAGAAAUGCCAGCUGGUCUUCCAUAGUCGUAUGCAUCAUGGUGAGGAAAAACCUUAUAAAUGUGAUGUAUGCAAUUUACAGUUUGCAACUUCUAGCAAUCUCAAGAUUCAUGCAAGGAAGCAUAGUGGAGAGAAGCCAUAUGUCUGUGAUAGGUGCGGACAGAGAUUUGCUCAAGCCAGCACACUGACCUAUCAUGUUCGUAGGCAUACUGGAGAAAAGCCUUAUGUGUGUGAUACUUGUGGGAAGGCAUUUGCUGUCUCUAGUUCUCUUAUCACUCAUUCUCGAAAACAUACAGGUGAAAAACCAUACAUAUGUGGUAUUUGUGGGAAAAGUUUUAUUUCCUCAGGAGAGCUCAACAAACACUUUCGAUCCCAUACAGGAGAAAGGCCAUUUAUCUGCGAAUUAUGUGGAAAUUCUUACACAGAUAUUAAAAAUUUAAAGAAGCACAAAACAAAAGUCCAUUCCGGUGCAGAUAAAGUUCUGGAUUCUAGUAUAGAGGAUCAUCCCUUGAGUGAACAAGAUUCUAUACAAAAAAGUCCGUUAUCAGAAACAUUGGAUGUGAAACCUUCUGAUAUGACUUUACCACUAUCUCUUCCACUUGGAACUGAGGACCACCACAUCCUUCUGCCUGUCACAGAUAAUCAGUCUCCUACAUCAGAUACAUUGUUGAGAUCAACUGUGAAUGGGUAUUCAGAACCACAGUUGAUUUUUUUACAGCAGUUAUACUGACUUUGUGAGGAAUAUGGAAUUGCUAAGACGUCUCUGGUAGUAAACAUAAACAUCUCUGCACAGACUCAUCCUCAUAGCAACCAUCUGUCCUGUCCUGGGUGAUUCACAUUCAUCUCUGAAAGCAUGAGAAUGGAUUUGAAAUUGAUAAACUGGUCUUAAAAUUCAUAUGAAAAUGCAAAGGACCCAGAAGAUCCAACACAUCUUGAAACAACAAAAAGGACUCACUUCUUGACUUCAAAACUGACUACAAACUACAGUAAUCAAGAUUGUGUGGGACUGACAUAAGGACAGACAUACAGGUUAAAAGAAUAGAAUGAAGAGCAGAGAAAUAAACUGUUUGUAAUAAAUUUUUGACAAGAGCAUCAAGAAAAUUAAUGGGGGAGGAAUAAUCUUAAAUAGUGUUGGGACAACUGGAUAUCCACAUGCAAAAGAAUGAAAUUAGACUCCUACCUCAUACCAUAUAUAAAAAUUAACUCAAAAUGGAUCAAAGAACUAAACAAAGGAGCUAAAAACACACUUAGAAUAUGCAAAUAUAAAUCUUAAUGAUUUUUAGAUAGGCAAGGCCUUAGAUAUAACACCAAAAGCACAAAGGAAAAAAGCUGAACUUUAUCAAAAUUAAUUUUGUGCUUCAAAGGAUGCCAUGAAUGAAGUGAAAAGGCAAUCCACAGAAUGACAGAAAACAUUUGCAGAUCAUGUAUAAGAGACUUUAUAUCCACAACAUACAGACUACUCUUAGCAUUUAAAAAGACAACUAGACAUGGGCUUUGAACAGACAUUUUUUCAAAACAAUGCCAUAUGAAAAGAUGCUAAGCAUCAUUAUUCAUGAUGGGAAUGCAAAUCAAAUCCAAAAAACCUCUGCAUAUCUACUAGGAUGGCUAAAAUCAAGAAGACAGUAACAAGUGCUGGAUGUAGAGAAACGAGGACACUCCUACAGUGCUGGACUUGUAAAAAGACAGUUUGGAAAACAGUUGAACAGUUGCCAAACGAUCCAGCAGUUACAUUUCUAGGUAUACACCCAAGAAAACUGAAAACAUGCACACAAAAAUGUGCAAAUAUUCAUAGUACAUUAUUGUAGACAAAAAGUGGAAACCUAAAUGUCCUUAACUGAUGGAUGAAUAGGAUAUAUCCAAACAAUGGAAUAUUAUUUGGCAAUAAGAAUCAAGUAUGUUACAAUACAGAUGAACCUUGAAAGCAUUAAGCCAGUCAUAGGAGACCACAUAUUUUAAGAUUCCAUUUAUGUGAAAUGUCCAGAACAGGCAAUCUAUUAGAUGGAACACAGAUUACUGACUGCCAGGGGCUGGGAGAGUGAAAGAAGCAUAGAGAAGGACUGCUAAUGUGUACACGGUUUCUUUUGGGGAUGAAAUGUUCUAAAAACAGUGAUGGUCAUGCCAUUCUGAAUGUACAAAAACCCACUGAACAAAAAUCUUAAAGGUAAAUUUUGAUGGAGAAAAAGUAAGUUCUUAUGUAUGCUAAGUAUCUUAAAGCUUUUU